rnacentral:rRNA from 1 species
GACGAACGCUGGCGGCGUGCUUAACACAUGCAAGUCGAACGGAAAGGCCCUGCUUUUGUGGGGUGCUCGAGUGGCGAACGGGUGAGUAACACGUGAGUAACCUGCCCUUGACUUUGGGAUAACUUCAGGAAACUGGGGCUAAUACCGGAUAGGAGCUCCUGCUGCAUGGUGGGGGUUGGAAAGUUUCGGCGGUUGGGGAUGGACUCGCGGCUUAUCAGCUUGUUGGUGGGGUAGUGGCUUACCAAGGCUUUGACGGGUAGCCGGCCUGGGAGGGGGACCGGCCACAUCGGGCCUGAGAUACGGCCCAGACUCGUACGGGAGGCAGCAGUGGGGAGUAUUGCACAAUGGGCGGAAGGCUGAUGCAGUAACGCAGCGUGGGGGAUGACGGGCUUGGGUUUGUAAACCGCUGUCGCCUGUGACGAAGCGUGAGUGACGGUAAUGGGUAAAGAGGCACCGGCUAACUACGUG